CCGUAGCGAAAGCGAGUCUGAACAGGGCGCUUAGUUAGUAGUGGUAGACGCGAAACCGUGUGAUCUACCCAUGGGCAGGGUGAAGCUGUGGUAACACAUAGUGGAGGCCCGAACCCGUUGACGUUGAAAAGUCUUGGGAUGACCUGUGGGUAGGGGUGAAAGGCCAAUCAAACUCGGAAAUAGCUGGUUCUCCGCGAAAACUAUUUAGGUAGUGCGUCGGAUGAAUACUCCAGGGGGUAGAGCACUGGAUGGGCUAGGGGAUCUCACCGAUUUACCAAACCUAACCAAACUCCGAAUACCUGGAAGUACUAUCCGGCAGACACACGGCGGGUGCUAACGUCCGUCGUGGAGAGGGAAACAACCCUGACCGACAGCUAAGGCCCCCAAUUCGUGGCUAAGUGGGAAAGGAUGUGGGACUCCCAAAACAACCAGGAGGUUGGCUUAGAAGCAGCCAUCCUUUAAAGAUAGCGUAACAGCUCACUGGUCUAAAUAAGUUAUCCUGCGGCGAAGAUGUAACGGGGCUCAAGCCAUGAGCCGAAGCUGAGGAUGCCGUAAGGCAUGGUAGCAGAGCGUAGUGUG
rnacentral:rRNA from 1 species